AAGUCGUAACAAGGUUUCCGUAGGUGAACCUGCGGAAGGAUCAUUAUCGAGUCCAUGUGGCACCUGCUGCCACGGUUCUCCCUCCUUGCUUGUUUUUCCAUGUUGCUUUGGCAGGCCGUCUUGGUUCGCUAAGCCACCGGCUCUCGGGCUGGUGUGCGCCUGUCAGAGCCCCCCAAUUUGUCUCUUUAGCUGUCGUCUAAGUCCCAAAAAUAAAUAAAAACUUUUAGCAACGGAUCUCUUGGCUCUGGCAUCGAUGAAGAACGCAGCGAAAUGCGAUAAGUAAUGUGAAUUGCAGAAUUCAGUGAAUCAUCGAAUCUUUGAACGCACAUUGCGCCCUUUGGUAUCCCAUAGGGCAUGCCUGUUCGAGCGUCAUUUACACCUCUCAAGCUUUGCUUGGUUCUAGGAUGUAACCAGUACUGGUUCUCCUUAAUUUUAGUGGGAGCCGGUCUAUUGUCUGGGCGUAGUCAAAUACUUCUCGCCCUUAGUAGUAGACGGUGGCUAUCCAAACAUCUUCUUAGUUGACCUCGGAUCAGGUAGGAAUACCCGCUGAACUUAAGCAUAUCAAUAAGCGGAGGAAAAGAAACCAACUGGGAUUGCCUCAGUAACGGCGAGUGAAGCGGCACCAGCUCAAAUUUGAAAUCUGGCGCCUUUAGCGUCCGAGUUGUAAUUUGCAGAAGAUGCUUCGGGUAUGGCAGCGGUCUAAGUGCCUUGGAACAGGACGCCACAGAGGGUGAGAGCCCCGUCUACAACCGCUAGCCUAUGCUCAUGUGAAGCUCUUUCAACGAGUCGAGUUGUUUGGGAAUGCAGCUCAAAAUGGGUGGUAUAUUUCAUCUAAAGCUAAAUACCGGCCAGAGACCGAUAGCGCACAAGUAGAGUGAUCGAAAGAUGAAAAGCACUUUGGAAAGAGAGUUAAAAAGUACGUGAAAUUGCUAAAAGGGAAGCGUUUGCAAUCAGACUUGCGCGUGUUGAUCAGCCAGGGUUUGCCCUGGUGUAUUCGAUUAUGCACAGGCCAGCACCAGUUAUAGCGGCCGGAUAAAGACCUAGGGAAUGUAGCACCCUCCGGGGUGUGUUAUAGCCCUAGGUGUCAUGCGGCCUGCUGGGACUGAGGACCGCGCUUUGGCGAGGGUGUUGGCGUAAUGGUUGUAAGCGAC
rnacentral:rRNA from 1 species